rnacentral:rRNA from 1 species
GAUGAACGCUGGCGGCGUGCCUAACACAUGCAAGUCGAGCGAUCUUCUUCGGAAGAGAGCGGCGGACGGGUGAGUAACGCGUGGGUAACCUGCCCUGUACACACGGAUAACAUACCGAAAGGUAUGCUAAUACGGGAUAACAUAAGAAAUUCGCAUGUUUUUCUUAUCAAAGCUCCGGCGGUACAGGAUGGACCCGCGUCUGAUUAGCUAGUUGGUGAGGUAACGGCUCACCAAGGCGACGAUCAGUAGCCGACCUGAGAGGGUGAUCGGCCACAUUGGAACUGAGACACGGUCCAAACUCCUACGGGAGGCAGCAGUGGGGAAUAUUGCACAAUGGGCGAAAGCCUGAUGCAGCAACGCCGCGUGAGCGAUGAAGGCCUUCGGGUCGUAAAGCUCUGUCCUCAAGGAAGAUAAUGACGGUACUUGAGGAGGAAGCCCCGGCUAACUACGUGCCAGCAGCCGCCGUAAAAC